GUGACCUACAACACAGCUACACUGCAGCUUUUGGCAACCCAGGAUCCUUAACCCAUUGAGCGAGGCCAGGGAUCGAACCCAUAUCCUCACGGCGACAAUGCAGAGCCACAAUGGGAACCCCAAAACAGAUCCUUUAAAUCAACUUCAUACCCCACUGGUUUCUGGGGCAUGCUGCUACUUUGUUCUUUUUGCCAUCUUUGAUGACGCCACUACAUUCAGCAGGUGUAUCUGGUACACGAGUGAGCUUUGAACUUGAGCCUAGACUCAAAUUCCUCCUCCCCACAUAUUAGCGGUGUGGCUUCAGAUCAAGAAUAUAACCUCUCUAUGCCCCAGUUUCUUUAGCUGUGAGAUAGAGAAAUGAUAAUGCCUACUUCACGAGAAUGUUAUACAAAUGAAAUAAUACCCACGAGACACUUAGCCUGGUAUUUGGUAUGUAGUAACUGACUCAAAUGCUAGCUAUAUUAAUAUGGAUAACAAUGGAACUCAUAAUUGCUAAUAAUUAUUAUAUAUUAUUAGAAUGUAUGUGUGCAUUAGGAAUCUUCAUAAUUACUUUAAUAUUGACUGACCUAUUAUAUAAGCAUCAGCUGUUCCAGAAGGGAGGAAGACGUCUUAGUGCCGGGAACUGUAAGCAGGACCAUUUUUUAAUCAGCAAUUUGCUUUUAAUAGGCAUACGUUGGUUAUAAUCAUCCUUAUAUGCCUUUUCUUUUUCUUUUUUUUCUUUUUUUGCCUUUCUCUUAUAAAGCUACCUGUCAGUGGAUUUAGGGACCAGUCUAAAUCCCAAAAAAUCUCAUCUGGAAAUUCCUAACUUAAUGACAUCUGCAAAGACCCCUGGUCUUUUACAUCACAGGCUCUGGGGCUUCGGGACAACGACCUGUCUUUUGAGGGCCACCAUUCAACCAGCUACAAUCACCUUGAAAAAACAGUUUAUGGGAGUUCCCGUCGUGGCGCAGUGGUUAACGAAUCCGACUAGGAACCAUGAGCCUCAAGUAUCUGAGACCAAGGUCAUUCACGAUGCCUGGGCACACGGUUUCUCUCUCCCUGUGAUGUCGUUCUCGAGACCGCUCCUAUGACUGCUGCUGCGGAGACACGGAGCCAAUCCAGAGCGGACUGCCAGUGACGACACCAGUCGCCAAGGCCUCCAAGGGCCCAGAACAUAGUGGCGCCCUCUGGCGGGGAAAGGGAGGCAGUAUGUGAGAGACAGCCAAUCUGGUCAGCUGACUUCGGCCAAGUUCCAGUGCCUGGUGCAACACCCCCUGGCAACUCAAGUCACUUUCCAUCUCCAGAAACCCGACCAGAAGAGAGACAUGCUGAGAGGAAGCAAAGAUCAAGAAUCCUGGCAUCCAAUCAGAUACAGGAAUUAACGCAACAGCCGUCCAAUCAGAUGAGCGGAUCCAACCAAAUAGAGCAGGUAUCCAAGUAGAUGGGGCAGAGUUGCCAUGACGACUCGAGUCUCUACAGGGUUUGCAGGGUCCCCGCGCUCAGACGCUUUUGAGCGCCCCCUGGCGCUUGGCCCCUUACUCCAGCAAGCGCGUGCUGGCUGAAGGCAGCCAAUAAGGCCGGGUACAGCCUCCGUGACGUCACUAGUUGCGGAGCAGGCCCCCGGAGUGCGUGAGCUCGAAGGCGAGUUCGCGUGAGCUCUUGCGAGCCCGCGGGCGGGUCGCGCGCGCUUUCUCCAGUGCGGUGGUUGGUGCGCAUGCGCUCGUGUUUCUCUUUCUUUUUUUUUUUCAGCGUGAGGCGCGAUAAAAGGCGGGAAAGAGCCUGAGGCGAAGCGUGAGGUGAGACGACCAGGUGGACCAGGGGGACGACCGGGUUGACUGACGGACCCAUGGACGGAGGGGGACCCCCUCUGAGCCGGAAACGCUCUGGCAGAGGAUGUGGCCUCUUAAAAAAUCUUCCUGAGGGACAGAGCCCCAGAGAUGGCCCGACAGAGAAAGGCUAGAGGAAAGUGACGCCCCCUACACACACACACACACACACACACACACACACACACACACGCGACGGUGCAGCCAGUUAGAAAGUCGCAGGGGUGGAGACGCUGGAAGCGACGAAGGAAGACAUUGAGGUGCC
ensembl:lncRNA